rnacentral:tRNA from 1 species
AUUUCCAUAGUUUAUGAAAAACGUUACAUUUUCAUUGUAAAAUUAGAUUUAAUCUUGUAAAUA